UAACUGUUGUGUAUUUGAAAUAUUUGAAAUUUAUUCCUGCAAUGCAAAGCUGAAUAUUCAGCAUCGUUACUCCAGUCUUCAGUGUCACAUGAUCCUUCAGAAAUCACUGUAAUAUGCUGAAUUGCUACUCCAAAAAAAAAAAAAAAAAAUCAAAUGAUGGCAGAUGAUUUUAAAGAAAUGUUAAUUAUAAAUAUGUUUAAUUCAGUACUAAAAGGUAUGAAAAAUGGUUAAGAAUGAACUUUUCACCAAUAUUUAUGUGUGUAUUUUUAUAUUUAUUAGAGCAUCGCAUUGGUACUUUAUUGCAUUAAGGUGCAUUAAUAUGGAAUGAUUUUGGGUCUUUAUUAUUCAAUCAAACAUUCUGUGUUUGAAAGUAAAACUAAUUAUUUUGUAAUUAAAAAAUAAAAGAUUGCAAAAAAAGUCCUCUUAAGGCUCAAAAAUAAAGAAAUUCAUAACAAAAUUAUUUGCAGCGCAUAUAAAUCUUUGAAAAUCUUUAUUUUUCUUUAUGCACUCCAAUAUUUUUUUAUAGCGAAACCACAAAUGUUGCUCUUUUCUGCCGUCUUUUUUUUUGCGGUUCUAAAACUUUUUUUUGCGAGUUGAAAAGUUUUGCUUGCGAGUUAAGCUGUCUCUCAGUGGGCAGUCUCUACCCACCAGGAUGAAAGGCCUUUUCCUAUUGGUCACUCUCGAUUGAAGUCACAGGUUGACCACGCCCACUCAGUUUCCCCGCAAUCCGCUGCACUGCCGCCGCAGUCUGACAGAAGAGCGAGCGAGGGUGCAUCAUGACGAGCAACAGGUCGUGUACUGGGAAGAUUUGGUGUUGAUGGAGGAGGCAACAUCUUCAAGGCAAAACCUUAGACCUGAUGCAACAUCAUCCAUACAUGAUGCAUACAUUUUUAUCUUUAACGUGUAGGCACUUGAAGACCAGUGCCCAAUAUGCACAGGAACAUUUCCAGUGUCAGAAGUAGACCUGCCAUGCCAGCUUUUGUGGAGACAGGUAAUGGUAAUAGGGACUCACACUGAAGCUUAAAAACACCUAAAAGGUGCUCUGAUUUGGAUCAUACCUCACGGUAACCUACCUAUGUUCAUUACAUUCGUUCAAAACAGUACAUUGCAAAGGUCAUAAAAAAUCAAAAUGUAUAUAUACAUAUAUACACACACACAGUUGUUUGGAACCAUUACAUUUUUUUUAAUGUUUUUUGACAAUGUUUUCUGCUUAUCAAAGCUGCAUUAAUUUGAUCAAAUAUACAGUAAAACAGUAUUAUUGUGAAAUAUUGUUACCAUAACUGUUUUCUAUUUGAAUACAUGUUAAAAAUGUAACUUAUUCCUGUGAUCAAAGCUGAAUUUUCAGCAUCAUUACUCCAGUCUUCAAUGUCACAUGAUCAUUCAGAAAGCAUUCUAAUAUGCUGAUUUGUUGCUCAAAAAAUAUUUAUUAUUGUCAAUGUUGAAAUUUUUUUGGGGGGGAUUCUUUGAUGAAUAGAAAUUUAUCUGAAGUAAAAACUGUUUAUAACAUUAUAAAUGUCCUUACUGUCACUUUUGAUCAAUUUAAUGCAUCCUUGCUGAAUAAAAGUAUUAUUUAAUCCCCCCCCCCCCCCAAAAAAAAAGUCUUACCUACCCCAAACAUUUGAACAGUAGUGUAUAUUAUUUCAGAUAAAAGAUGCUCGUUUGAACUUUCUAUUCAUCAAAGAAUCCUGAAAAAAAUUGUACACAACUGUUUUCAACAUCAGUAAUAAUGUUUGUUGAUCAAAAAAAAAAAAAAAAAAGCAUAUUGUUAUAUUGUGACACUUAAGACUGGAGUAAUGAUGCUGAAAAUUUU
ensembl:lncRNA